rnacentral:rRNA from 1 species
UACGAAGGGGGCUAGCGUUGUUCGGACUUACUGGGCGUAAAGGGCGCGUAGGCUGUGCUGUAAGUCAGGCGUGAACGGCCCGGGCUCAACCUGGGAACUGCGCAUGAUACUGCGGCGCUUGAAGACGGGAGAGGAUGGCGGAAUUCCCAGUGUAGAGGUGAAAGUCGUAGAUAGGGGGAAGAACACCGGUGGCGAAGGCGGCCAUCUGGCUCGUGAUUGACGCUGAGGCGCGAAAGCGUGGGGAGCAAACAGG